UACGGAGGGUGCAAGCGUUAAUCGGAAUUACUGGGCGUAAAGCGCACGCAGGCGGUCUGUCAAGUCGGAUGUGAAAUCCCCGGGCUCAACCUGGGAAUUGCAUUCGAAACUGGCAGGCUAGAGUCUUGUAGAGGGGGGUAGAAUUCCAGGUGUAGCGGUGAAAUGCGUAGAGAUCUGGAGGAAUACCGGUGGCGAAGGCGGCCCCCUGGACAAAGACUGACGCUCAGGUGCGAAAGCGUGGGGAGCAAACAGG
rnacentral:rRNA from 1 species